rfam:Firmicutes bacterium CAG:882 genomic scaffold, scf231
UGAUAUCAGGGUCAAAAGGUCAGAAGUCCGAUGCAAGCUUGCUUGCGUGAGGAUUUUUGACGUUGUGACCCGCCAAAAAUAUGAGUAAGUAGCCAUUUUUUCAAAGAAAAAUGUGCGAAUUACGAAUGUUAUUGAGAAUUGUGGGAGCACGCAGUGCGGAGCAAUUCGAUAUCA